rnacentral:rRNA from 1 species
AGAGUUUGAUCCUGGCUCAGGACGAACGCUGGCGGCGUGCCUAACACAUGCAAGUCGAGCGGAGUCAGUAAGAGGAAUUUUUCGGAUGGAAUCUUAUUGAUUUAGCGGCGGACGGGUGAGUAACGCGUGAGCGACCAACCUUGCACAGGGGGAUAACGGACCGAAAGGUUCACUAAUACCGCAUAAGACCACGGUGUUGCAUGACACAGGGGUCAAAGGAGCAAUCCGGUGCAAGACGGGCUCGCGUCCGAUUAGGUAGUUGGAGGGGUAACGGCCCACCAAGCCUAUGAUCGGUAGCCGACCUGAGAGGGUGAUCGGCCACAUUGGAACUGAGAUACGGUCCAAACUCCUACGGGAGGCAGCAGUGGGGAAUAUUGGGCAAUGGGGGAAACCCUGACCCAGCAACGCCGCGUGAAGGAAGAAGGUUUUCGGAUUGUAAACUUCUGUCCUUGGUGAAGAGAAGAAGACGGUAGCCAAGGAGGAAGCCCCGGCUAACUACGUGCCAGCAGCCGCGGUAAUACGUAGGGGGCAAGCGUUGUCCGGAAUGAUUGGGCGUAAAGGGCGCGUAGGCGGCUUUGUAAGUCUGGAGUGAAAGUCCUCUUUUCAAGGGAGGAAUUGCUUUGGAAACUAUAGAGCUUGAGUGCAGGAGAGGUUAUCGGAAUUCCCGGUGUAGCGGUGAAAUGCGUAGAUAUCGGGAGGAACAUCGGUGGCGAAGGCGGGUAACUGGACUGCAACUGACGCUGAGGCGCGAAAGUGUGGGGAGCAAACAGGAUUAGAUACCCUGGUAGUCCACACGGUAAACGAUGAAUGCUAGGUGUAGGAGGUAUCGACCCCUUCUGUGCCGCAGUUAA